GCCCCAGGACUGGAAAAAGGCUGUUAUCUGACAUCGCGCAUCUUCGCCAACCGUCGAGCAUCGAGUUCAAGCCAGUCCGCCUUCUCCCUACCAGGCAACCCCGCGGGCCCACCUGGAUGCUCAUCUCGGGCCAUCUCCAGCGGAGGACUGACUUGUCCACGGGGUUGAGAGCUGCGCCCCGUUCCUGUGACUCCAGCCGAGCUGCUCCAGGCUGCACUGCCCCACGGACUGGCUUCAAGGCUGACCGCCUCCCUCACUCAUGCCUCACCUGCCCCCGCCUACUGGACAGGACGGUGGUCACUCCCCCAACGGCCUGUCCUUCACGCUUCUGGUGGCUCUUGCACCUCAUUGCGGAGCACCGGCCACGGAGCAAGACACCAGCAUUGUCUGGGGAGCGAUAACGGGCUGUGUUUCCAACACCCCUGCCCACUGGCCCCGACAGAUAACGCAGUGGUUCCUGCCAGGAAAUCCCCUCUGCCUCAUGGAAAACCCAGAGGAGGAAGCGGAGCCCUGAAGACUGUUCAGGCUCCACCCCAAGGUGUCGGAGUGAAACCAGCCAGUCAUCUUGGGCCCGGAAGCCCCCGGGCUCUGCACACACUUGCAGGGACCCGGGAGCCUGCGACAAGACACACACAACACCGAGACCCCGUGCGGUUGCCUCUGCACCGUGUUUUACCAGAUCCGAGCUGGUCUGGAGUCCAAUGACCACCUGCUAAAGCCCGCAGGGGAAGAGCUGCUGCUACCUCUGUUUUGCAAACGAGAAAACCAGGGCCAAGGGCUCUGCCAGAGACCUAAUGAGGCCAGCUUCACUCCCCCACCCGCAGUGGGCUUGAAUGUGAUCAAGGAUGGGCGGAGCUGCUCAGACGUCCCUGAGCAUUAGGAGAACCUCGCUGGCUCUGCUGGGUGAUGCCCUGGAGAGCCUGGGAGCUCCUUCCUCGAUGUGCAUUUGUGAGCAAGUGCAGACACUUUUUACCCACUUAUACUUGUCUCUUGUGGCUGCUAGAAUGAGUGACCGCAAACCUGGUGGCUCUGUCCUCACAGAUCUGGAGGCCAGGUGUCUGUGGGCAGGUGGGGCUGGUCCCCGGCGGGAGGCUCCAGGGAGAGUCUCCUCAUCGGCUCUCGGGGUGCGGGUGGCCGUCAGCAUCCUCGGCUCACCUGGCUUGUAGCAGCAACCCUCCCAUCCCUGGCCCUCCCCACUCUGUCCAGGGUCUGUUUCCCAGAGAAAAAUUCACACGUCGUUAGAGUUCAACACAUAAAUUUGGGGGGACACAAAAUACAGCCCGUAACACUCAGUA